UACAGAGGGGGCAAGCGUUAUUCGGAAUUAUUGGGCGUAAAGGGCGCGUAGGCGGCUUUGCAAGUGACGGGUGAAAUCCCUCGGCUUAACCGAGGAACUGCCUGUCAAACUGCAUGGCUUGAGACCGGGAGAGGUGAGUGGAAUUCCCAGUGUAGCGGUGAAAUGCGCAGAUAUCAGGAGGAACACCGGUGGCGAAGGCGGCUUUCUGGACAGUAACUGACGCUGAGGCGCGAAAGCUAGGGGAGCAAACAGG
rnacentral:rRNA from 1 species